CCCUUAGAUGUCCGGGGCCGCACGCGCGCUACAAUGGAUGAAUCAACGCGUCAUCCUGGCCCGAAAGGGUUGGGGAACCGCUGAACCUCAUCCGUGGUUGGGAUUGGGGUUUGUAAUUAUUCCCCAUGAACUAGGAAUUCCCAGUAAGCGCGAGUCAUAAGCUCGCGUUGAUUACGUCCCUGCCCUUUGUACACACCGCCCGUCGCUACUACCGAUUGGAUGGUUUAGUAAGAUCCUCGGAUUGGUCACGGCACGGUGGCAACACUGCGUCGGUGUGCCGAGAAGACGAUCAAACUUGAUCAUCUAGAGGAAGUAAAAGUCGUAACA
rnacentral:rRNA from 1 species